rnacentral:rRNA from 1 species
AUUGAACGCUGGCGGCAGGCCUAACACAUGCAAGUCGAGCGGAUGAAGGGAGCUUGCUCCUGGAUUCAGCGGCGGACGGGUGAGUAAUGCCUAGGAAUCUGCCUGGUAGUGGGGGAUAACGUCCGGAAACGGGCGCUAAUACCGCAUACGUCCUGAGGGAGAAAGUGGGGGAUCUUCGGACCUCACGCUAUCAGAUGAGCCUAGGUCGGAUUAGCUAGUUGGUGGGGUAAAGGCCUACCAAGGCGACGAUCCGUAACUGGUCUGAGAGGAUGAUCAGUCACACUGGAACUGAGACACGGUCCAGACUCCUACGGGAGGCAGCAGUGGGGAAUAUUGGACAAUGGGCGAAAGCCUGAUCCAGCCAUGCCGCGUGGGUGAAGAAGGUCUGCGGAUUGUAAAGCACUUUAAGUUGGGAGGAAGGGCAGUAAGUUAAUACCUUGCUGUUUUGACGUGACCAACAGAAUAAACACCGGCUAACUUCGU